AUUGUAUUAGGUUUGGGCUUUGAUCAAAGUAGCCAUGUGGGAUUUUAAUCCGAAGGCUCAGUCCCAAUUUUUGUUUCCUUUUCACUCUGUAUGUAAAUUGUAGCAAUAUUAUAAUUGCAUGGUUGGUGUUUGAUAGAAUGCUGAGAAAGGAUAGCAUUUCCUAGAAUGUAAUGAUUUCAGGCUAUUUUGAGAAUGGGGAGUGUUUGGAAUGUUUAAAGCUAUGGCACUGUAGUUUGAUGAUGGGAAUCAGUGUUAAUAAUAACAAGUUUUAAAGAGGUUGGGAAUCAAUGUUAUUUUUAGAUUGAUUUUUUUUUUACUACUAUUCUUUGCAUCCUAGACAAAUCUGUCAGAUUUAUAUUCUGGCUUCUGUUGGUUUGUUUGGAGUUUCCAGGUUUGUUGUGCAUGCUCUUAGAUUUAUUUCUUCUGGUUUUUUCUCAUUUUUUCAUGCAUAUGGUUUUAAGAUGGCUUCUUGGGUUGAAUUAUGUUGAGGUUCAAAUUUUUUGGUUGGAAAGUUUGUAGAAUUUGUUCUUUUUAUAAAAGAUCAGUUUUCUUUUUUUCUUUUUGGGUUCGUAUCUUGUUGUUGGUAUCUUUUAUAUCAUGUUCUUGAAAUACGUUAGUGAAUUGAUACAUCCUCUACUGCUUUUUGGAAUGAAAUAGAUAUAGGGAAGUUAAUUUUCAAGGAGACAGAAUUCGUGAGAUGCACUCCAAAAUGCUAUAUUUCUGGUCUGAGCAAACCCCUCGAUUUGUUUUUUCUUUAUCUUUUUGUUUUACAACGAAAUUUUGAGGGUUCGUGAUGGAGUUUAAGUUUUUUCUCGGGAACCAAACAAAGCUAAAUGUUGAUCUCUCUUUUUUGUUUGCUUUUGAUUUUAAUCUUUGAACUCUGAGUGGUUUUUCCGCUUCACAAUUGAAUAUACAGGACCAUAAGGCCAAUCCUUCAUAGACCUAUGACUUUGCUUGAGAUAUCUCUGCUUGGACGUGUCUAAAUGCAACUCUGUUCAUACGUUCCGCCUUGGCAAUCUGGUCUUCUCGCCUGCAUGGGAGUAGAGGCUGCCUUGGAUCCUAUCCAAAACCUAAACUAACCACUUUAGUGGAUGAGCCAUCAAAAGGGAGAACUCAAAGGCAAGGACAAUCUGUGAAGAAAUCAAGUAUAUUAGAGGAGUUCUGGAGCACCAACACCUGUGAAAUCAACAGUGCAGUUCAUUCCCAGAGAAGCAUCUCAUCAAACCAAGCCCUUGAUUCUGGGGGUUGUGUUGGCAGAAUGAGCAACCCAUCUGAAUUCAUUAAUCACGGUCUGCUUCUGUGGAACCAGACAAGGCAGCAGUGGCUUGGAAACAGAGGGUCGCACAGGCAACCACAAGUCCAUAAACCCAGAAUAAGUUGGAAUGAUGCAACUUAUGAGAAUCUACUUACCAGCAAGAAGCCUUUCUCGCAGCCUAUCCCCCUUCCUGUAAGUCGUUAUGGAUUAAUCUUGUUUCCUUUAUUUUAAUUGCUUGUAAAUGUUAAUAUACUAUUCCUGACUGUUUUAUUGAAUUUUAAGUGACAGGAAGUGAUA